ACGGUGAUGAUUCCCGUUGAUCCGAACAACGGAACAAGCCGCGCUUGAAAUUAACUUGCAAGUGGCUGAGCAUCUCAUGCGUACUUUUAACGUAGUUCGCGGGGAGAUUCAGAGUGACACUGAAUGUGACAAGGCUGGCCCUUUGAAUUACAGGCAUUUCACCUCAA